CGUUAGCGGCGGACGGGUGAGUAACACGUGGGUAACCUACCUAUAAGACUGGGACAACUUCGGGAAACCGGAGCUAAUACCGGAUAAGAUAUCGAACCGCAUGGUUCGAUAGUGAAAGAUGGUUUUGCUAUCACUUAUAGAUGGACCCGCGCCGUAUUAGCUAGUUGGUGAGGUAACGGCUCACCAAGGCAACGAUACGUAGCCGACCUGAGAGGGUGACCGGCCACACUGGAACUGAGACACGGUCCAGACUCCUACGGGAGGCAGCAGUG
rnacentral:rRNA from 1 species